AGUUUGCCUGCGGAACACUGAGUUGUAUAAUCUUAUCUCCAGGCAUUUUCUUGAGCUCAUAUAAAGGUUGGCAGAUGAUUUACGUUGUCCAGCACAUCAACCUGUUGAGGCUUCAAAUGCUGGAUCUAUCCUCACACAUUUAUGCCUUCUUCAAGCUGUUUUAGUUCAUUUCCUUGAGUCCAUUGUGGUUAAGCACUGUUUUUCCAAUCUGAUCUUCUAUUUUAAAUGCUAAAUACAGUCAUUCUGAUAAUUAGCAUUGUAUUAGUCAUUUCUACCAACGAGUUGGACAGAUUCACUAGCCUAAAUUGGAGUUGGUGCGCAUAUAAUGGUAGUCUGUAAAAGUUUCAACACUUAUUGAUUGAGGAUCAGUAAGUGGUAAAACUGAAA